CCCCCUCCCUCCCCACAGAGGAGGAGACAUACCGGGAUACCAAACCCCCCCCCCACAGAUGAGGACACCUAACCGGGAUACCAAACCCCCCUCCCCACAGAUGAGGACACCUAACCGGGAUACCAACCCCUCCCUCCCCACAGAGGAGGAGACCUAACUGGGAUACCAAAACCCCCCCUCCCCACAGAGGAGGACACCUAACUGGGAUACCAAACCCCCUCCCUCCUCACUAAAAAAAUAUAAUAUUUCAUGUUUAGCUUCUGCUUCUCUGCAUGGAGCCUACGGUAGUAUUACCCUCAAUAAGAAAAUGGUGACUUCCAUAUUGCUAUUCAUUUUUACAGCAUUUAUGUAUUUUUAAUUUGUAUUAUAUACAUAUUAUGGCCUAUACAGAACAAAAUUGAAACACGGAACAAAAUGUGCAUAGAAAAACAAAAUAGUCAAAUGAGUUUUCUAGUGCCUUGAACUUUAACCCUCUUAUUUAUGUCCUACAUACUCAAACGGAAGUGCCUCCCUGGACUAUAGUCAAUUAGAUCAGAUCCUCUAUACCGGUCACGAGAUGCAUUAUUAUAGUACCAACCAACCUGCACAGUCAGAAGAGGGUAACAGGUAAACAGUAAUAUAGAAUAUGUCGUUAAUGGUUCCCAGUACAGACUGUAAUAUAGGGCCUGAGGACAGAGAGGAACCACACACACACACAGCUGUCCAGGAGGAGAGAGAGAGACAGAGAGAGAGGGGGGGGGAGAGAGAGAAAGAAGAUGAGUGAGAGAGUGAACUUGACAGAAACAAAUAUGGAAUGGCAUCCACUGACCCUUGAUGUGGGAAGUUCAACAGAGGCCACGUUCUAGAGCGGUCACAUGGUUCUAGAGUGUUCACAUGGUUCUAUAGAGUUCACAUGCAUGGUUCUAGAGUGUUCACAUGGUUCUAUAGAGUUCACAUGGUUGUAGAGCGGUCACAUGGUUCUAGAGUGUUCACAUGGUUCUAGAGUGUUCACAUGGUUGUAGAGCGGUCACAUGGUUCUAGAGUGUUCACAUGGUUCUAUAGAGUUCACGUGGUUGUAGAGCGUUCACGUGGUUGUAGAGCGGUCACGUGGUUGUAGAGCGGUCACAUGGUUGUAGAGCGGUCACGUGGUUGUAGAGCGGUCACAUGGUUCUAGAGUGUUCACAUGGUUGUAGAGCGGUCACAUGGUUCUAGAGUGUUCACAUGGUUCUAGAGCGGUCACAUGGUUCUAGAGUGUUCACAUGGUUCAAGAAUGUUCAAAAGGUUCUAGAGUGGUCACAUGGUUCUAGAGUGUUCACAUGGUUCUAGAAUGUUCACAUGCUUCUAGAGUGUUCACAUGGUUCUAGAGUUUUCACAUGGUUCUAGGGUGUUCAAAUGGUUCUAGAGUGGUCACGUGGUUGUAGAUUCUAUCCAUCCAUCCUCUGUUUGUCUGCCUGUUAAGUCUGUUGUGUGACAACAAACAAAACCCUUUUGUAUAGAAACAGCCUUCCAUUGUGCCCAGCGAUCACCUUCCAACUCUAAGAGAUGUGUUUCUGGGGCAUUACUGAAUCAAGACCUUCUGGCAUAUCCAAACUUGCACCAACUGUUGUUGUCGUUCACUAAACGAUAAUAACAACAAGCAUCGAUAUUCUGCUAAAAGUGACUGAACAGUGCCCAUGUCUCUGGCUGUAUUAUGGGAAUGAUAGUGUAUUUGACAUCGUCACAGACAUACCUGUCUAAACAACGAGCUCUACUGCACUAGUAAGUCCCCGACCGUCCCCUUCCACACUCACCCCUGUCUGUCUCCCUGUCUGGCUGUUUGUUUGUUUGUUUGCCUACCUUCCUGCCUGCCUGCCUGCCUGCCUGCCUGCCUGCCUGCCUGCCUGUCUGUCUGUCUGUCUGUCUGUCUGUCUGUCUGUCUGUCUGUCUGUCUGUCUGUCUGUCUGUCUGUCUGUCUGUCUGUCUGUCUGUCUGCCUGUCUGCACAGAGCUACUCAGCAUUCAUCUCAACAUGAUGUCUGCGUCCCAAAUGACACCGUAGUCCCUGUUUAAUGCACUACUUUAGACCAGGACCCACAGGGUGCCAUUUGGGAGGCAGAAAAGAGCAUUAUGAACGUUAUGAAAGCCAAAGGCAUUAGUCACUUUGCAUGCAAACAAAAUGGCAGCCCUCCGCUUCUGUUUUGGAUGACAAGAGAAAGAGCAUAGGAGAGAUGGAAAGAAGUAGAGAGGGAGUGAGGGAGUGAGGGAGUGAGGGAGUUGGAGCACGACAGAGUGCCAGCCGGGCGGGAUGUAGGAAGGAAGGAGGGAGAGGAAAUUAAUGCUGUGUUGUAACGUUUCAUGUUUCAGCUGGCUGUAGAGGCUUACCUGCUAUGUUGUAACGUUAUAUGUUUCAGCUGGCUGUAGAGGCUUACCUGCUAUGUUGUAACGUUAUAUGUUUCAGCUGGCUGUAGAGGCUUAGCUGCUAUGUUGUAACAUUAUAUGUUUCAGCUGGCUGUAGAGGCUUAGCUGCUAUGUUGUAACGUUAUAUGUUUCAGCUGGCCGUAGAGGCUUACCUGCUAUGUUGUAACGUUAUAUGUUUCAGCUGGCUGUAGAGGCUUAGCUGCUAUGUUGUAACGUUAUAUGUUUCAGCUGGCUGUAGAGGCUUAGCUGCUAUGUUGUAACGUUAUAUGUUUCAGCUGGCUGUAGAGGCUUAGCUGCUAUGUUGUAACAUUAUAUGUUUCAGCUGGCUGUAGAGGCUUAGCUGCUAUGUUGUAACAUUAUAUGUUUCAGCUGGCUGUAGAGGCUUAGCUGCUAUGUUGUAACAUUAUAUGUUUCAGCUGGCUGUAGAGGCUUACCUGCUAAGAUGUUUGACACCAUGGAUGGACAGUACAGUGUAGUACGACUAUUUAUUUAGUCCUGCUCUUGAUAAUAUGUAUGAUGAGACACAUACCAACUUGCCUUUGGCUUGAAUGAGAGACACAGUCAAAAGAGGCACUUGAAGACUGUAUGUUUUUAAUUGGCUGGUUUUCAGACCUAUAUGAUAAAAAUAUAGAUUGUGCCCUUGUUAAUUGAAAGCAUCCUUUUAAACUGGUUUCCACGUUGGGAUAGUUCCAGUACCAGCUGCCUAAAGCACUAGAAUGUUCUAUAUUAGUUUAUUUAGAUUCUCACUAGAUUGUUCUAUAUUUGUUUAUUUAGUUUCUCACUACAUUGUUCUAUGUUCUAUAUUUGUUUAUUUAGUUUCUCACUACAUUGUUCUAUGUUCUAUAUUUGUUUAUUUAGUUGACCGCUUGCAGAGUGAUAAAGGGUGUAGAUAUAGGGUGUUAAUCUGAUAUGAUUCAACCCCUCUCCAAUACAGUUUUAUUAUAGGGUGUUAUCUAAAUGAUUCAACCCCUCUCCAAUACAGUUUUAUUAUAGGGUGUUCAUCUGAUAUGAUUCAACCCCUCUCCAAUACAGUUUUAUUAUAGGGUGUUCAUCUAAAUGUUUCAACCCCU
ensembl:lncRNA